UACGUAGGGUGCAAGCGUUGUCCGGAAUUAUUGGGCGUAAAGAGCUCGUAGGCGGUCUGUCGCGUCUGCUGUGAAAACUCAGGGCUUAACCCUGAGCUUGCAGUGGGUACGGGCAGACUAGAGUGCGGUAGGGGAGACUGGAAUUCCUGGUGUAGCGGUGAAAUGCGCAGAUAUCAGGAGGAACACCGGUGGCGAAGGCGGCUUCCUGGACAAAAACUGACGCUGAGGCGCGAAAGCUAGGGGAGCAAACAGG
rnacentral:rRNA from 1 species